rnacentral:rRNA from 1 species
UACAGAGGUCUCGAGCGUUGUUCGGAUUCAUUGGGCGUAAAGGGUGCGUAGGUGGCUAGGUAAGUCGGAUGUGAAAUCCCGGGCUCAACCCCGGAACUGCAUUCGAUACUGCCUGGCUAGAGUACUGGAGAGGAGAUUGGAAUUUACGGUGUAGCAGUGAAAUGCGUAGAUAUCGUAAGGAAGACCAGUGGCGAAGGCGGAUCUCUGGACAGUUACUGACACUGAGGCACGAAGGCCAGGGGAGCGAAACGGG